rnacentral:rRNA from 1 species
UACAGAGGUCCCAAGCGUUGUUCGGAUUCACUGGGCGUGAAGGGUGCGUAGGUGGUUGGGUAAGUCUGAUGUGAAAUCUCCGAGCUUAACUCGGAGAUGGCAUUGGAUACUAUUCGGCUAGAGGGUUUGAGGGGGGACUGGAAUACUUGGUGUAGCAGUGAAAUGCGUAGAUAUCAAGUGGAACACCAGUGGCGAAGGCGAGUCCCUGGAAAACUCCUGACACUGAGGCACGAAAGCUAGGGGAGCAAACAGG